rnacentral:misc_RNA from 1 species
GAUGAAGAACGCAGCGAAAUGCGAUACGUAAUGUGAAUUGCAGAAUUCAGUGAAUCAUCGAAUCUUUGAACGCAUAUUGCGCUCUCUGGUAUUCCGGAGAGCAUGCUUGUUUGAGUAUCAGUAAACACCUCAACUUCCAUAUCUUUUUUGAAAUGGGAGUUGGACUUGAGUGAUCCCAACGCUUUUCCUCACCGAAAAGUGGCGGGUUACUUGAAAUGCAGGUGCAGCUGGACUUUUCUCUGAGCUAUAAGCAUAUCUAUUUAGUCUGCCUAAAAAACAGAUUAUUACCUUUGCUGCAGCUAACAUAAAGGAGAUUAGUUCUUGUGCUGACUGAUGCAGGAUACACAAAGACAGGCUUCGGCCGACUUUGUAAACUCGAUCUCAAAUCAAGUAGACUACCCGCUGAACUUAAGCAUAUCAAUAAGCGGAGGA